GGCAGCAUCUUGCUCGUGCUCCGGGAGACCCAUGACAAUGGGCGGAGUCUCGACGAGAAUCCCGUUUUUAUAUUGGCUGAUCAGAUGUGACUGUAGGCAUUCUAGAAGGUUCUCUGCACCCCCACACUGGCUGUAGGUGCCCCUGAAGCCUCCAAACAUCCCCCACACUGGUCGCAGGUGCCCAGCGGCUCACUGGUGCCGCGGCACUCCCUUCUCCUAAUGGCCCUGGCCAGGGGUUCUGGGGCCAAACAAAAGAAGCUGUUGGCCUCAAACAGCAGAGAGAGAGGGAGAUGUGCCUACUCCUUCCAUAUCGAAGGAGGGAGGGGGAGAGAGUGGGGUUUGCAUUCUGCCACAGUGAGUGUUGGGUCUGGGCCUGUGGAAUAAUAUUUUUGGAAAAAAUCCACAUCCUGUCUAACCUCUUGGUCCAGCCCCAUAUCUGUAAACCUAUAAAUGGAGAACUGUUAAUAAAACUCAGUUCAGCCUGGCUCAGCUCUGCUCUCGCUGCUGAAAAGAACUGUGUCUGUGCACCUGUUUCUGUCUGUGCGAAUCGUUCUCAUCGCCGCAAACGGUGCCCCGUGUGCAUGUCUGAUCCCUGUGGGCUCCUCAUUGAGCAGUGUGUGUGGUGGCAACCACACAAUCCGGCUGGAUGCAUCCUUACACAUUAGAGUAACUUUGUGGGUGAAUCCUCUGAUAACAGAAAAUUUGAAACGAUAUUGUAUUCAGUUGUGGCUUGAAUGUGAGAUUCUGGGUUACAGGAGGAGAUCAUCAAAAGCUCAUCCAGUGCAACCUCCACGCCGGAGCAGGAACACCCAGGGCUCCAGCUCAGCUAAAGAGGUGAAUUCCAGCUCAACCCCAGCCCAACAUCACCAGAGAGUCCUCACCCAGCGAGGCGACCAUCUGGUAGUUCUCCAGCAUCACCUCCUGUAGCAAAUGAGACACAGACUCACUUUUUUAGGUGCAAAGGUAACAUUUAUUAUAAAUUCAGGCUUGCAUUUAUACUUGCUAUGAUGCUUGCUCAAGCAUUUGCUUCUUUGCUAAGUCAUUACAUAAGUGAUAUAUUUUGUGUUCCCACCCAAGUUGCUGCCAUAAAACCGUUUUUUGGUCUA